CGUUAUGCUAAGGGUUACUGUCAUGACGCAGCGUAACAAGAAUUUUGUGCAAUAUACGAAAGUAAGACACAGAGAGGGCACAUUACCUAGUCCGUCAAAUUAAGUGCCAGCAGACGCGGUGAAACUUAAGGGCUAGUCUUAUAGGCAAAAGCGUAAAGGGUGUGAUAGGCCGUUUUAUUUAAGAGAGUAAAUGGAAUUUUUCUGUAACGGUGGUAUGUGUAAAUAGGAAAAAGAACUUUAGACGUGAAGACUAUUUACUUCUAAGAUUAUAAUGUGUUGGCUAAAACACGAGAGUAUGGGGAGCAAACAGGAUUAGGUACCCUGGUAGUCCAUACUGUAAAUAAUGAAAAAGAUGUGAAGCAAUUCUAAAAGGUAAAAACUUUUCCGCUUGAGUAGUACGAUCGCAAGAUUAAAAUUCAAAAAACUUGGCUGUUCACUGUUUUGAUUAGAGGAGCGUGUCGUUUAAUUCGAUAGUCCGCGAGAGACCUUACCCAAACUUGAAUCCCUCAUUGACAGGUAUUGCAUGGCCGUCGUCAAUUUGUGUAUUAAACAUAAAACAAAUUCAACCCAGUGGUUUGUCUAUUGGAUGAAGUCAGGUCUUAUUGUCCUAAUGUUUGGGGAUUAGAUGCGCUACAUUUUUUUAUACAAUGGGAAACUUUAAGUGUGAAACCCAAAAAUAAGAGUUCGGAAGGUGCCUGUAAUAUAACGGGAAGUUGGAUUUAAUAGUAAUUGAAAAGUAGAGCGUUUCAAUGAAAUUUAUUCAGUGUUAGUACAAAUUGCCCGUCGCCUUUGCUUAGAAAGGUUGUUUGGUUGCCCCUCAAGAGGGUUCCUAAUAUCUUCGAGGUAGAGUAAGUCGUAACAUAGU
rnacentral:rRNA from 1 species